GCUCAUAGACGUCUCUCUUUGGUGGGGACAGCCUUUGAACGUUUGAUCUC
rnacentral:rRNA from 1 species